AAAUUGAAGAGUUUGAUCAUGGCUCAGAUUGAACGCUGGCGGCAGGCCUAACACAUGCAAGUCGAACGGUAACAGGAAGCAGCUUGCUGCUUUGCUGACGAGUGGCGGACGGGUGAGUAAUGUCUGGGAAACUGCCUGAUGGAGGGGGAUAACUACUGGAAACGGUGGCUAAUACCGCAUAACGUCGCAAGACCAAAGAGGGGGACCUUCGGGCCUCUUGCCAUCAGAUGUGCCCAGAUGGGAUUAGCUUGUUGGUGAGGUAACGGCUCACCAAGGCGACGAUCCCUAGCUGGUCUGAGAGGAUGACCAGCCACACUGGAACUGAGACACGGUCCAGACUCCUACGGGAGGCAGCAGUGGGGAAUAUUGCACAAUGGGCGCAAGCCUGAUGCAGCCAUGCCGCGUGUAUGAAGAAGGCCUUCGGGUUGUAAAGUACUUUCAGCGGGGAGGAAGGUGUUGUGGUUAAUAACCGCAGCAAUUGACGUUACCCGCAGAAGAAGCACCGGCUAACUCCGUGCCAGCAGCCGCGGUAAUACGGAGGGUGCAAGCGUUAAUCGGAAUUACUGGGCGUAAAGCGCACGCAGGCGGUCUGUCAAGUCGGAUGUGAAAUCCCCGGGCUCAACCUGGGAACUGCAUUCGAAACUGGCAGGCUUGAGUCUUGUAGAGGGGGGUAGAAUUCCAGGUGUAGCGGUGAAAUGCGUAGAGAUCUGGAGGAAUACCGGUGGCGAAGGCGGCCCCCUGGACAAAGACUGACGCUCAGGUGCGAAAGCGUGGGGAGCAAACAGGAUUAGAUACCCUGGUAGUCCACGCCGUAAACGAUGUCUACUUGGAGGUUGUGCCCUUGAGGCGUGGCUUCCGGAGCUAACGCGUUAAGUAGACCGCCUGGGGAGUACGGCCGCAAGGUUAAAACUCAAAUGAAUUGACGGGGGCCCGCACAAGCGGUGGAGCAUGUGGUUUAAUUCGAUGCAACGCGAAGAACCUUACCUGGUCUUGACAUCCACAGAAGAAUCCAGAGAUGGAUUUGUGCCU
rnacentral:rRNA from 2 species